rnacentral:rRNA from 1 species
AGAGUUUGAUCAUGGCUCAGGACGAACGCUGGCGGCACGCUUAACACAUGCAAGUCGAACGAGAGAAGAGGAGCUUGCUUUUCUGAUCUAGUGGCGGACGGGUGAGCAACACGUGAGCAAUCUGCCUUUCAGAGGGGGAUACCGAUUGGAAACGAUCGUUAAUACCGCAUAACAUAAUUGAACCGCAUGAUUUGAUUAUCAAAGAUUUAUCGCUGAAAGAUGAGCUCGCGUCUGAUUAGCUAGUUGGUAAGGUAACGGCUUACCAAGGCGACGAUCAGUAGCCGGACUGAGAGGUUGAUCGGCCACAUUGGGACUGAGACACGGCCCAGACUCCUACGGGAGGCAGCAGUGGGGAAUAUUGCACAAUGGAGGAAACUCUGAUGCAGCGAUGCCGCGUGAGGGAAGAAGGUUUUAGGAUUGUAAACCUCUGUCUUCAGGGACGAAAAAAGACGGUACCUGAGGAGGAAGCUCCGGCUAACUACGUGCCAGCAGCCGCGGUAAUACGUAGGGAGCGAGCGUUGUCCGGAAUUACUGGGUGUAAAGGGAGCGUAGGCGGGAUCGCAAGUCAGAUGUGAAAACUAUGGGCUUAACCCAUAAACUGCAUUUGAAACUGUGGUUCUUGAGUGAAGUAGAGGUAAGCGGAAUUCCUAGUGUAGCGGUGAAAUGCGUAGAUAUUAGGAGGAACAUCAGUGGCGAAGGCGGCUUACUGGGCUUUAACUGACGCUGAGGCUCGAAAGCGUGGGGAGCAAACAGGAUUAGAUACCCUGGUAGUCCACGCCGUAAACGAUGAUUACUAGGUGUGGGGGGACUGACCCCUUCCGUGCCGCAGCAAACGCAAUAAGUAAUCCACCUGGGGAGUACGACCGCAAGGUUGAAACUCAAAGGAAUUGACGGGGGCCCGCACAAGCAGUGGAGUAUGUGGAUUAAUUCGAAGCAACGCGAAGAACCUUACCAGGUCUUGACAUCGUAUGCAUAGCUCAGAGAUGAGUGAAAUCUCUUCGGAGACAUAUAGACAGGUGGUGCAUGGUUGUCGUCAGCUCGUGUCGUGAGACGUUGGGUUAAGUCCCGCAACGAGCGCAACCCUUACUGUUAGUUGCUACGCAAGAGCACUCUAGCAGGACUGCCGUUGACAAAACGGAGGAAGGUGGGGAUGACGUCAAAUCAUCAUGCCCCUUAUGACCUGGGCCUCACACGUACUACAAUGGCUGUCAACAGAGGGAAGCAAAGCCGCGAGGUGGAGCGAACCCCUAAAAGCAGUCUUAGUUCGGAUUGUAGGCUGCAACCCGCCUACAUGAAGUCGGAAUUGCUAGUAAUCGCAGAUCAGCAUGCUGCGGUGAAUACGUUCCCGGGCCUUGUACACACCGCCCGUCACGCCAUGGGAGUCGGUAACACCCGAAGCCUGUAGUCUAACCGCAAGGAGGACGCAGUCGAAGGUGGGAUUGAUGACUGGGGUGAAGUCGUAACAAGGUA